GACGAACGCUGGCGGCGUGCUUAACACAUGCAAGUCGAGCGGUAAGGCCCUUUCGGGGGUACACGAGCGGCGAACGGGUGAGUAACACGUGGGUGACCUGCCCUCAGCUCUGGGAUAAGCCUGGGAAACCGGGUCUAAUACUGGAUAUGACUCCAUGACGCAUGUUGUGGGGUGGAAAGCCUUGUGCGGCUGAGGAUGGGCCCGCGGCCUAUCAGCUUGUUGGUGGGGUGAUGGCCUACCAAGGCGACGACGGGUAGCCGGCCUGAGAGGGCGACCGGCCGACACUGGGACUGAGACACGGCCCAGACUCCUACGGGAGGCAGCAGUGGGGAAUCUUGCGCAAUGGGCGAAAGCCUGACGCAGCGACGCCGCGU
rnacentral:rRNA from 1 species